rnacentral:rRNA from 1 species
UACGUAGGCAGCGAGCGUUGUUCGGAGUUACUGGGCGUAAAGGGCGCGCAGGCGGUUCUGUUUUGUCGAGUGUGAAAGCCCCCGGGCUCAACCUGGGAACUGCGCUCGAAACGGCGGAACUAGAGUUCGGGAGAGGAGAGUGGAAUUCCUGGUGUAGCGGUGAAAUGCGCAGAUAUCAGGAAGAACACCCGUGGCGAAGGCGGCUUUCUGGGACGGUACUGACGCUGAGACGCGAAAGCGUGGGGAGCGAACAGG